CCUUGUGUGGAUCCUAUUUCAAUGGGAACUUGAUGAGUCAAUCCACCUACACGUACCCUUCUGAUUAGCUAGUUGGUGAGGUAAUAGCUUACCAAGGCGAUGAUCAGUAGCUGGUCAGAGAGGAUGAUCAGCCACACUGGGACUGAGACACGGCCCAGACUCCUACGGGAGGC
rnacentral:sRNA from 1 species